rnacentral:misc_RNA from 1 species
GAGAGCUUUAAUACAGAACAAUAAAAAUUUAAAGGCUCGAUAGAGUAAUAGACAAAAAGCAAAGAUCAACAGUUUCAGAGUCUCAGAAUGGUUUAUUCCAAUUCCAAUUAACUAUGCUUCGCAAGUUUUACAUUAGAUAUUCAUGCAAAUACUUAAACUUGUAUAAUAUGUCCUAAAAAUAACAAAACAGUAAGCAAUACAUUAAUCAAACACUCUAGAAUCUAGUUAGACAAUUAACAUCUAAAAUAGCUCAUAUACAGAGUGAUAGAUAAAGAAACAUAUGAUGUAAAUAAGCUAAUUAUGCUUCCAUUAAUUAAAUGAGGACUACACAUCAUAAAACUAUAGUAGCAUACCGAUUAAUUCCAUUGUCAGCAUCAUUCGAUAAACUUGUGCCUUCCAAAAAGGGGAAGAAUCCAAUAUAUAUACAUAUUUCCUUUGAUUGAACAAUACACUAAAUCCACUACAAAUACAAACUAAGAUAUAUGAGCUUGUAACAAGUACUGACUAAGUUGAAGUGACGUUUUGCAGUAUUGCAAUUCAACUAACUAUGAUAUCUGGUUUUAUGGAGAAGAAACAACAAGACACUAUUAUUGUUGUAGAAAUAAGUACGCUAUGAUGAAUGGGCAAAAAUACAAGGAUAAACUGGAUAAUAAAUGAAUACAUUUACAAAAAAAAAAAAGUGAAAAUGGCAAAUAUUGAGUUUAUAGAGCUAUACCUAAAGACACUCCAAAUUUGUGCUUCUAAUAGAGAUGAUAUACCUCAACAACCAACAGCCACAGAUAACAAGUACAAGUGCAGCACUACAGGUAAAAGCACGAAAAAAGGGCCCCACAACUAAGAGACUAAUGUAACACAUAACUCAAGGCAGAUUGACUCAGCCCUUCAAUCCAUAGAAAGAGAUCAUUGAGAACAUGCUUGGUAAAAGAUUUGGAGUUUUAGCCAUUUUUACUACCUGCAUCAAAUAUUCCUAAGCCAAUGAAUGGAGCCAAUUACGAACAUGCUUCACUACUACGAUAUAUCUAAUGAACACUUCUCUCCUCAGGAAUGAUAAAAGUAAACAGUUAAUCCAAUUAUCCUGCUCAUACAACUGUGUUACAUUCAUAACCAAUGCUUCCUCUCAUUGCAUCGAAACCUAGGAAGGUUCAUUCUUUAUGAAACAAAUAGCAUCAAAAUUUUAAAAUCAGGUCAUUCUUUAUCAGUUUCUUUGAAGCACUGACAAUGUACACUUUAAAUCAAACAGUUGUGUUCUUACAUACAUUCACAAAUCUCUCAAACAAUUAGAUUGCAAAAUUCAACACAUUUGUAGAAUUUGCACAAUUUGAACAAACAAAAUCAAGCAAAACACAACAAUGAAACUCCUUAAUGAAUGCCUAAUGAUGUUAAUAGCUCAACACAAGACCCAGCAAGUUAGAUCAAACAUAUAUAAAUCCAAAGUAAAUCAGGAUAAAGAAAACUAAAAAGCACCUAAUAUUGGUCCAUAACCCAAUUUGACCUCCAAAUUAAGCAAGGUUGAGUAUCAAUAUGUGAACAAGCGCAAAAGACAAUCCAAUUAUUACCAUAAUCAUCUUCGAAAUGAUGAUAACAAGGAGAGAUCUUGAUUUUUUUCCCCCUUGAGAAAAUCAUUCAAUAAUAAGAACAGUCGAAAUCCUACUUGUUGAAACCAUGUUUCUGGUAUUGAGCAACCUCACCCUCAUUAGGGAAAAACCCCAUGAGUCGACCCGCGGAGUUUUGAUAAGCGUACAUGAAACCUCCCAUAAGGCCUAUCAAUCCUCCAGUAACCAUCGACGGUCCCUUUAUACCUGGCUUUAUCCCAGAGAGGUAGCCAACGGUGACGGAGACGCCUGUGAUGGUGGCGAAACGGCAGUAAUCGAGAAAGUUGAAGUUACCGACAACCUUAGUGAAUGGCGGAUUGCGAUCUAUCACUGGGUACUCUGGUUUCGUGGAUGCAGUGAUAUCAGUGUUCAUCUUUUCUCUUGCUCUCUAGCCAGAGAUUUUAGUCUGUACGUGUCACUUCUUUUUCACUUCUGU